GUAGUAGCUGGAUAUGGGAGUCUGGGGCUAAGAGGAGGGGUGUUGGCUAGAUAUAUAAGCUUUGAAGUCAUCAGCCUAUAAAUAUUGACAAAACAAGUGAGGUGGCAGAGGAAUUAGUGAACAUAGAAAAAAAAGAGGUCUGAGGAUUGAGAUCAGAGGCAUGCCCAUAUAUUAAAGAUUAAGGAACAGAGGAAGAAUCCACAAAGGAGAUUGAGAAGGAGUAGUCAGGGAGGUAGAAAGCAAGCCAAGAGACUGUCUCAAGUAGAAGGGAAUGAUCAACUGCUGACUGAUUAAGUAAGAUAAGGACUGAGACUUAGCAACAUGGAGGUCAUCAGUGAUUUUUGACUAGCUCAACCUGUGAGAGUGAAAACAUGACUGAAGUGAGUUCAAAGGGAAGUGGAGGAGUGGUCUUAGAGACAGUGAAUGCAGUCAGUCCUUUAAAUUUUGUCCUGAAGGGGAGUCGAGAUAUGAUAUAAGGAAAAGAUUUUCAUUUUUCCAAUGGAAGAUAAUAUAGCACAUUUACUUGCUGGUGAGAAUGAUCCAAGAGAGGAGGAAAAAACUGAUAAAAGACAGGGAAAGAAGGGACAAAGUACAAUUACUAAAACUUUCAAGGAAGGGGAAGAAACUAAGACUAUAAGUAGAGGGAUUGUCUUAGCUCAGGGGAUGGAACAUGUGUGUACUGUAGCACGCAGGGUGCACUAACAGAUGCAAGUGAAUGUGGUGAUGGGAAUGAGGAGGGGCAUUUUCAGGUUGCUUUAAUUUUCUUAGUGAAUUUGGAGGUAAGGGCAUGAACUUGAAAUGAGGGUGGAAAAGGAGAUAUUGUAGGAAAAGAUACAAAAUAGUCAUUUAGGAGGGUGGGAGAGGAACUAAACAAGGAGAAUGGGGCAGUAAAUAGACUAGGAAGAUGUAGUGGGAUUGCUGAAUAGCACAAAAGUCUCACCGGAGGUGAGUGAUAACGAGUUUAAAUCAGGACCGCCUGGUUUGGAUGUGUAUUUUCUCCUGCCAUAUUAAGCUGCAGGCAUGUGCAAACAUCAUGUGUGGGGAAUUGAAUUAAGCCAGGACUGGGUCCUUUUCAAGAAAAUACAAUGAAAGGAGAGAAGGGCAAGAGAGUUGAAAGUGUAUGCAAGGGAAUUUAUACUGAUGGACUGUAGAAUCUACACAGGGUAAGGACGCGAGGUGAGUGCGGGACAGUGAAAAGGUGGUGGCAUCAGAUUAACUAAUUUUCAGUCCCAAAGGACCAGAAAUAUUUUAGGAAUUGGGAUGUUAGUGGGAAUAAACUAUUAGGUUGGUGCAAAAGUAAUUUUCUUGUUUGUUUGGUUUUUUGUUUGUUUGUUUGUUUUGCCCUUACUUUUGCACCAACCUAACAGGAAAAAUCAGUGGUUAUGGUCAGAAAGUGGGAAGCUUGAAGUUGAGAUUAUCAAGUUAAUAUCAGUGCAGUCAUUGGUAAUGAUAAGUUCUAGGAUCUAAGCAAUGGGAAGAAAGAAGUUGGCUGAAGAAAUGAUGGAAAUUAAUUAUAUAAUUGAAGAAAAAGAAGUCAAGGCACUGAGAGCAUGUUCAGUUGGCAGAAAUUCCAUGACAGCAUCUACAAGGGCAUAUUGGAGAGAGUGAGGAAAUUAAACCAGUUGCCUGCUGGGCUGGUUGGUGUACAGAAGAGGAGAAGGAUUCUGAGGGGUCAUCUCCAAUCCCAUUUUUUUUCAGCCCCAGCCUGCAUCCCUUUCUACAGAAGUAACAACAAUUUCCAGUUUCUGAGCCUUUCCAGGGUUGUACAGUAGUCAUUUCAGAGAGGCUUCAGGAUGGAGUUGUGAUAAACGCAUGUGUUCAGUCUACAAUGUUUAACAGGGAGUGCCUCUUGAUUUUUUCAUGUGAAUUACUGAGGAGUAGGUAGUAGACUAUCUUGAUGCCCUUCCUCAUGUCCCUUUGACUCUGAGUUGACCUGCAGCUGCAGUGAACACUUCCUAAGGAUGCUGAUGUCUUCCCCUAUCAAGCACUUGCCUCAUUCUGCUUCUCCGAGGAUUUCCUCCAGUACACCAAGAGCUUGCCCGACACUCACAAGGUAUCCUGGAACUGCUGGGGACUGAAAACCCCUCAACCCAUGAAGAAUGAGGAUCAGUGGAUUAAUAGCAACUGUCCCAUACCUUGGUGGGACUAUUAUAAGGCAUUCUGGUUGGUUCCUCAGAGGUCCCAAAUGGGAUUGAACCAAAGUUGCCCACAGUAAAAACUCAUUCACCAACUCAAUUUUCAUUUCACCCCUCUCAAUUUGCACACUCACUCACUUGUUCUACCUGGGAUACUCUCCAAGAUAAACUCCUGUAUCCAAAGCUUUGUCUCAAGGUCUCAUUUGGGAGGAACUCAAACUAAGAUAAUAGGUACUGGAAGUGACUACAGAAAGUAUAUUAUCAAUGGUAUGGAGGCAACAAAAACCCCAUUAAUGGUGGUGAGUAAGGUGGUGACAAACCCUGGCACUUUGAAGAAUUUCAUUACCCACAAUUGACCCAUGGUGUACUUGGAUGAGGUAAAAAUGAAAGGAGACGCUAACCUUAUGCAAUAGUGCUAACUCCUGAAAGAUAUAGGGCUGUGAUAAUCACAGGAAUUGAAGAGUUGUCUUGUUCUUGUUAACUCCCCUAGAAGAAUUGGGAAAAAAGAAAGAUAGGUUUACAACAUCCAACUACCCAUUCAGAGCAUAGCAAUGAAAGCCAGAAGGUCUCCUUGGGAGAAUCUGAAGAGACCCCCAUUUCCUGCAACCAGAGGGCAGGCUGUUCUAAAAAAAUGACAUUCAGGGGUUCACUGCAAGAGGAAUUGAACUACAGAGCAGACUGAAGACACAGUCCAGGCAGGCCUCUCAUGCAAAAGUCAAAGCCCUAGAGGAAGGAAAUGGUCCUUAAAAACUACUGGGAUGCAGGCAGGCAUCUGGAUAGAUGUGCUAGAUAACCUUGAACCCCUAGAUUCCCUGAACAACCCAGGCUAGCAGGAGUAUCCUGCACCCUGUUACUUGAACAGAACAGCUUCCCUUUGCCUAGAGACUCUACACAGUCCUCCUCUGAAGCAGACACCUCCAAGAUUACUUCAAGGUCUGCUACUUCCUGCCCUCAUUGCCUCUAUUCCAAAAACUGGAAACAAGUCUCAGCAUGCCCUGAGCAGGGUAGCACAUUUCUUGCUGUGAGAGAUAUGACAGAUUGUAUUUUCUAAAGAAGGCUGCAACCAUGUCUCUCAUCCCAAAUGCUCUUCUACAAUGCAAUCUUGUCACUCCUCUACCAAGAGAUGAAACCUAAUUUCAAUGCCCUUGAAUCUAAGCUGGACUUUACUUGCUUUGACCUGUAAUGUACAGAAGUGACACUGUGUGAUUCUUACAGCUGAGUCAUAAAAGGUGAUGCAGCUUCUGCCUUGUUCCUGGGGACAUAUGCCUCUGUGAGAUUGAGCUACUAAAUAACAAGACCACCUACCUUGAGGCUGCCAUGCUGGAAGAAAGCAAAGCCACAUGAAGAGCAAGUAAGCUGGUUGCUUUAGCAAGAUCCUUCAUAUUGAUAGUGAAUGUGCACUUCUGUCUUUCUCUUGUGAAUGCAAACCACUUUUUCAAUAGUCUCACGUUAAGUGCCAAAGAUUGUUGUUUUUGUUGAAUGCAUUCUCUUUAUCAUUCACUACCUGGCCCUAGGAAUUUGUUCAAUGAUCCUCAUUUCUGUUACAAUAUAGUCUUCAGUGACCUUGAUCAUCUUCACAUUCUAUAGAACAUCAUCCUGGCCCAUUAUAUUAAUGACAGAAUAAUAAUUGAACUUGGUUUUUAGGAAGGAGCAAGUAUACUGGUUUUAAAUACUUCAUGCUGAAGGAAUGAGAGAUAAGCCCUACAAAGUUUUGGAAGUCUGCCACAUCAGGGAAUAUUUUAGGGGCCCAAAGAUCCAGGGGUAUGUUGAGACACCCUACUCAAAAGAAUACUUUACAUUUCCUACCACUAAGACAGAGGCACAGCACUUGGUGAGCUGCUUUGAAUUCCUGAGGCAAAAAAAUAACAAUAAUAAAUACUACCCAUGAGAAUAAUGCUCUGAUCUAUUGUAUCAGAAGACUAUUGACUUUGCGGGGGUCUGAGAGAGUAUCUGAAUAGCCUUUUAAAGACUUAAAAAGGCAUUGGCUUAGGAAUUGCACCUUGCAUGGCUAGGUCAUUGUCCUCGAGGAUACAGCAUAUUUGUUGAACCAGUGAUCACUAUAUGCAAUCACUGUGCUGUUUUCCCAGCAUUUGGAAUACACAGGAAUGAUAAUUAAAGGAUACAAGUAGGACUGACUUAAACACACUCCCUUUCACCCAUUAGUGGAAAUUAUGUUUUUAAUUCUUACAACUUUAGGCUCUUCCUGAUUAAAAGCCUUGGUCUCAAGGUGUGUGUACAGACGGAGACAGUAAGUGUUCCACUGCAUCAAUGCAGUGCCAUCUGAGGAUUUGGGCAUCUCCAUACUGACAGGUCAGCAGGCAAAAAUGGGAGUACUAUACUGGCAGGGACACCUGACUGAUUAUCUUGAAGAGUCGGAGUUGCUGCUACAUAAUGGGCCCAGGGAGGAAGAUGUCUAGAACUUGGGGGAAUCACUCAGGCCCCCCUUAGUGCUUCUUUGUCUGGCGAUAAUAGCAGAGAAGCAAUUGAAGUAGCCAUGUCCUCACAAGGGCAAGGUAAUCAAGGCCCAGCCACUCAGAGAUGAAGGUCUGGUCAUACACUGAGCAAGCAAUGAUGACUAGUGGAAGUGCUAGCCAAGGAUUCGGGAAAUCUAGAAGAAGUGGAAUUGGAGAGAGAUGAUGAGUAUAGAUUAUAGCCUUGGGACCAGCUGCAGCAGUGAAGAUUGUGACUUGUUCCACAUAUUCUUCUAUUUUCAGUCAUUUUUGGAGAUUGCAGCCAGCUACAACUCUGAAAUGUCAGUAACAGAGCAAACUAAGGGUGGGCAUGAGAGGAUCUGCUGAGAGCAAGGAAUGAACAUGGUAGUCACUAAUGAUACACUGCCCAUGUUCCCCGGCUCACCUGUUAGCUCCCCGGCAGCUUGCAAACAUGUCUAUACACACUGCCAUCUUCCUACCACGAGUGCCAUAACUCUCUGCUUCUCUGCUGAGGCCCUUCUCAGCUCACAGUGCGAGUAGCCUGCAAGUGCUAAGGGCAUAAUGCCUCCAAGGUCAACUUUAAUCAACGAGGUUCAAGAGUCAGAAGAGUGAAUUCCUUCUGAGAUACAUUCUUUCUGGUUUCUCAGAGGCUCCCCAGAGGAAGUAGGCCCCAGUUGCUUAGGAAAAAUGGAACCUACUUAUUAAGGCACCCCCUUUUUACUUUUCUCCUUUCUUUCUCUCCCUUUCCCCACUCCAUUCCGUGAAGUUCCUGGGAUCACCAAAUAAACUAUCUGUAAUCAAAUCUUUAUCUCACUCUGCAUUCUGGGGAACCCAAACAAAGAUGGUCCACUGACUUGUCACAUGGCAGAACGGAGAGCUACCUCAGGC
rnacentral:lncRNA from 1 species